UGGCGGCGUGCCUAAUACAUGCAAGUCGAGCGCGGGAAGCGGACAAUCACCCUUCGGGGUGUGCGUCCGUGGAACGAGCGGCGGAUGGGUGAGUAUCACGUGGGCAACCUGCCUGUAAGAUUGGGAUAACUCGCGGAAACGCGAGCUAAUACCGAAUGAAGUCUUUCACCGCCUGGUGAAAGGAUGAAAGAUGGCUCUUGAGCUAUCACUUACAGAUGGGCCCGCGGCGCAUUAGCUAGUUGGUGGGGUAAAGGCCUACCAAGGCGACGAUGCGUAGCCGACCUGAGAGGGUGAUCGGCCACACUGGGACUGAGACACGGCCCAGACUCCUACGGGAGGCAGCAGUAGGGAAUCUUCCGCAAUGGACGAAAGUCUGACGGAGCAACGCCGCGUGAAGUGAUGAAGGUCUUCGGAUCGUAAAACUCUGUUGUCAGGGAAGAACAAGUUGUGUUCUAACAGGACAUGACCUUGACGGUACCUGACCAGAAAGCCCCGGCUAACUACGUGCCAGCCGCCGC
rnacentral:rRNA from 1 species